AGUGAACGCUGGCGGUAGGCCUAACACAUGCAAGUCGAACGGCAGCACAGUAAGAGCUUGCUCUUACGGGUGGCGAGUGGCGGACGGGAGAGGAAUACAUCGGAAUCUACUUUUUCGUGGGGGAUAACGUAGGGAAACUUACGCUAAUACCGCAUACGACCUACGGGUGAAAGCAGGGGAUCUUCGGACCUUGCGCGAUUGAAUGAGCCGAUGUCGGAUUAGCUAGUUGGCGGGGUAAAGGCCCACCAAGGCGACGAUCCGUAGCUGGUCUGAGAGGAUGAUCAGCCACACUGGAACUGAGACACGGUCCAGACUCCUACGGGAGGCAGCAGUGGGGAAUAUUGGACAAUGGGCGCAAGCCUGAUCCAGCCAUACCGCGUGGGUGAAGAAGGCCUUCGGGUUGUAAAGCCCUUUUGUUGGGAAAGAAAAGCAGCAGGUUAAUACCCCGCUGUUCUGACGGUACCCAAAGAAUAAGCACCGGCUAACUUCGU
rnacentral:rRNA from 1 species